rnacentral:rRNA from 1 species
AUUGAACGCUGGCGGCAGGCUUAACACAUGCAAGUCGAGCGGAGAUGAGGUGCUUGCACCUUAUCUUAGCGGCGGACGGGUGAGUAAUGCUUAGGAAUCUGCCUAUUAGUGGGGGACAACAUUCCGAAAGGAAUGCUAAUACCGCAUACGUCCUACGGGAGAAAGCAGGGGAUCUUCGGACCUUGCGCUAAUAGAUGAGCCUAAGUCGGAUUAGCUAGUUGGUGGGGUAAAGGCCUACCAAGGCGACGAUCUGUAGCGGGUCUGAGAGGAUGAUCCGACACACUGGGACUGAGACACGGCCCAGACUACUACGGGAGGCAGCAGUGGGGAAUAUUGGACAAUGGGGGGAACCCUGAUCCAGCCAUGCCGCGUGUGUGAAGAAGGCCUUAUGGUUGUAAAGCACUUUAAGCGAGGAGGAGGCUACUGAGACUAAUACUCUUGGAUAGUGGACGUUACUCGCAGAAUAAGCACCGGCUAACUCUGUGCCAGCCGCCGCGGUAA